GGAGGGAUACCCAAGCGGCCAACGGGGGGCAGACUGUAAAUCUGCUGGCUUACGCCUUCGGUGGUUCGAAUCCACCUCCCUCCACCA
rnacentral:tRNA from 2 species